rnacentral:rRNA from 1 species
AUUGAACGCUGGCGGCAUGCUUUACACAUGCAAGUCGAACGGUAACAGGCCGCAAGGUGCUGACGAGUGGCGAACGGGUGAGUAAUGCAUCGGAACGUGCCCAGUCGUGGGGGAUAACGCAGCGAAAGCUGUGCUAAUACCGCAUACGAUCUAUGGAUGAAAGCGGGGGACCGUAAGGCCUCGCGCGAUUGGAGCGGCCGAUGUCAGAUUAGGUAGUUGGUGGGGUAAAGGCCUACCAAGCCGACGAUCUGUAGCUGGUCUGAGAGGACGACCAGCCACACUGGGACUGAGACACGGCCCAGACUCCUACGGGAGGAAGCAGUGGGGAAUUUUGGACAAUGGGCGCAAGCCUGAUCCAGCAAUGCCGCGUGCAGGAAGAAGGCCUUCGGGUUGUAAGCUGCUUUUGUACGGAACGAAACGGUCUGGGUUAAUACCCUGGGCUAAUGACGGUACCGUAAGAAUAAGCACCGGCUAACUACGUGCCAGCAGCCGCAGUAAUAC